AGAGUUUGAUCAUGGCUCAGAUUGAACGCUGGCGGCAUGCCUUACACAUGCAAGUCGAACGGCAGCACGAGAGCUUGCUCUUGGUGGCGAGUGGCGAACGGGUGAGUAAUAUAUCGGAACGUACCCUAGAGUGGGGGAUAACGUAGCGAAAGUUACGCUAAUACCGCAUACGAUCUACGGAUGAAAGUGGGGGAUCGCAAGACCUCAUGCUCAUGGAGCGGCCGAUAUCUGAUUAGCUAGUUGGUGGGGUAAAAGCUCACCAAGGCGACGAUCAGUAGCUGGUCUGAGAGGACGACCAGCCACACUGGAACUGAGACACGGUCCAGACUCCUACGGGAGGCAGCAGUGGGGAAUUUUGGACAAUGGGCGCAAGCCUGAUCCAGCAAUGCCGCGUGAGUGAAGAAGGCCUUCGGGUUGUAAAGCUCUUUUGUCAGGGAAGAAACGGUGGACUCUAAUACAGAUCACUAAUGACGGUACCUGAAGAAUAAGCACCGGCUAACUACGUGCCAGCAGCCGCGGUAAUACGUAGGGUGCAAGCGUUAAUCGGAAUUACUGGGCGUAAAGCGUGCGCAGGCGGUUGUGCAAGACAGAUGUGAAAUCCCCGGGCUCAACCUGGGAAUUGCAUUUGUGACUGCACGGCUAGAGUGUGUCAGAGGGGGGUAGAAUUCCACGUGUAGCAGUGAAAUGCGUAGAGAUGUGGAGGAAUACCGAUGGCGAAGGCAGCCCCCUGGGAUAACACUGACGCUCAUGCACGAAAGCGUGGGGAGCAAACAGGAUUAGAUACCCUGGUAGUCCACGCCCUAAACGAUGUCUACUAGUUGUCGGGUCUUAAUUGACUUGGUAACGCAGCUAACGCGUGAAGUAGACCGCCUGGGGAGUACGGUCGCAAGAUUAAAACUCAAAGGAAUUGACGGGGACCCGCACAAGCGGUGGAUGAUGUGGAUUAAUUCGAUGCAACGCGAAAAACCUUACCUACCCUUGACAUGUCUGGAAUCCUUGAGAGAUCAGGGAGUGCUCGAAAGAGAAUCAGAACACAGGUGCUGCAUGGCUGUCGUCAGCUCGUGUCGUGAGAUGUUGGGUUAAGUCCCGCAACGAGCGCAACCCUUGUCAUUAGUUGCUACGAAAGGGCACUCUAAUGAGACUGCCGGUGACAAACCGGAGGAAGGUGGGGAUGACGUCAAGUCCUCAUGGCCCUUAUGGGUAGGGCUUCACACGUCAUACAAUGGUACAUACAGAGGGCCGCCAACCCGCGAGGGGGAGCUAAUCCCAGAAAGUGUAUCGUAGUCCGGAUUGUAGUCUGCAACUCGACUACAUGAAGUUGGAAUCGCUAGUAAUCGCGGAUCAGCAUGUCGCGGUGAAUACGUUCCCGGGUCUUGUACACACCGCCCGUCACACCAUGGGAGCGGGUUUCACCAGAAGUGGGUAGCCUAACCGCAAGGAGGGCGCUCACCACGGUGGGAUUCGUGACUGGGGUGAAGUCGUAACAAGGUA
rnacentral:rRNA from 1 species